AGAACUUUGAGAGUCCUCACAGAAGUAUUCCACAGUGAAAUGUUUAUUUGAAUAGAGAAAGCUGAAGUCUCUCCUCUGCCUCUUUUUGGCAGAAAGACGAUUGACAAAGCUUAUUGGAGAAGAAAUUUUCCUAGCAGGACCUAUCCAAGCAGCAGUAAGGAUUACCCCUGUCCCAUAUUUGACCACAGUUCAUGUCUAGCAGGAGAGCAAAACAGUGAGGAUCCUUGGGCAAAGAAGAGAAGUAAAUCAAGGAAAAAGAAAAAAGAAAAAAAAAAAGGAGUUCAGAAAACAUCCCAGUCUGGGGAGAGCACUCAAGUCACCUGAAGUGAGUCCCCUGCUGAGGCUUCACACAUAACAAGAUCAGCAGAGAGCACUGUCUUUGGGACACAGAUGUGAGAUGGGUCAACCAGCCUGAAGGCAAAGCAGAGUCCAUCUGGAAGGUUUGACAAUUUUCCCAGCCAACUGCUUCAAGGCUCUCAGUCUAAACUUACCUGAAAACUUAAGCCUAAAGGCACUUCAGAAUUUAACAGCUGAUUCUGUCUCAAAUGUGUAGGCUGACAAAGAUAUUUCUAGUAGCUGAGCUACUUUGAGUUGCAAUAAAAAAUUCAGGCUUCUCAAAAUUUCAUUGUAGAAGGAAUCCUGUCAGCUUUGUGGGAUAAAGCAUUUGCAGUUGUAUUUAAAAAUAAUGCAGUGGUGCCACAUUGUUGAUUUCUCUGGUUUACUCUUUGAAAAGCAAUGAAAUGUUGCCCUCCAUUUAGAACAAUAGGAAGAGUACACCUCCUCUCUUUCUCCUUUUCUCCAGCAGUGUAUCACAAGCAUUUUACAUACUUGGUCACACUCCUGUCAUUCAGUGAAAUGGAAACAUCUAUCUACCUUAUUUUAUUUAAACUUACUUUCUGAUUAAGACGUGUCAAAAAAUGUGUCAUACAUCCUGCUGUCCAUAUCAACGCUGAAAGGGUGUAAUUUAUAUCAGUUCUUGUUCCUUUUCACCAGGAAAGAGUUGGGAGAGCGAAAGAAUUUGGUUUAACCGGGUUAAGAAAGUGUCCUUAAAAAACAGUGCUUUAUAGAAUCCAUGCAAUUGUACUGAUGUAUCUCAUUUGGUCAGUGUGGUGUUGUGUAUAGAUGCUUUGUGAACAUUUUUGAUCUUACGGCAUAAUGUAGAGCAAGAAUUAUAAAACUAUUUUAUACAGCCU
rnacentral:lncRNA from 1 species